rnacentral:rRNA from 1 species
ACUCCUACGGGAGGCAGCAGUGGGGAAUAUUGCACAAUGGGGAAGCCCUGAUGCAGCCAUGCCGCGUGUGUGAAGAAGGCCUCGGUUGUAAAGCACUUUCAGUAGGGAGGAAGGUAGUGUAGUUAACACCUGCACUAUUUGACGUUACCUACAGAAGAAGCACCGGCUAACUCCGUGCCAGCAGCCGCGGUAAUACGGAGGGUGCGAGCGUUAAUCGGAAUUACUGGGCGUAAAGCGCAUGCAGGCGGCCUGUUAAGUCAGAUGUGAAAGCCCGGGGGCUUAACCUCGGAAUUGCAUUUGAAACUGGCAGGCUAGAGUCUUGUAGAGGGGGUAGAAUUUCAGGUGUAGCGGUGAAAUGCGUAGAGACUGUA